rnacentral:rRNA from 1 species
CGGCAGCACAGAGAAGCUUGCUUCUUGGGUGGCGAGUGGCGAACGGGUGAGUAACAUAUCGGAACGUACCGAGUAGUGGGGGAUAACUGAUCGAAAGAUCAGCUAAUACCGCAUACGUCUUGAGAGGGAAAGCAGGGGACCUUCGGGCCUUGCGCUAUUCGAGCGGCCGAUAUCUGAUUAGCUAGUUGGUGGGGUAAAGGCCUACCAAGGCGACGAUCAGUAGCGGGUCUGAGAGGAUGAUCCGCCACACUGGGACUGAGACACGGCCCAGACUCCUACGGGAGGCAGCAGUNGGGAAUUUUGGACAAUGGGCGCAAGCCUGAUCCAGCCAUGCCGCGUGUCUUAAGAAGGCCUUCGGGUUGUAAAGGACUUUUGUCAGGGAAGAAAAGGCUGUUGCUAAUAUCAGCGGCUGAUGACGGUACCUGAAGAAUAAGCACCGGCUAACUACGUGCCAGCAGCCGCGGUAAUACGUAGGGUGCGAGCGUUAAUCGGAAUUACUGGGCGUAAAGCGAGCGCAGACGGUUACUUAAGCAGGAUGUGAAAUCCCCGGGCUCAACCUGGGAACUGCGUUCUGAACUGGGUGACUAGAGUGUGUCAGAGGGAGGUAGAAUUCCACGUGUAGCAGUGAAAUGCGUAGAGAUGUGGAGGAAUACCGAUGGCGAAGGCAGCCUCCUGGGAUAACACUGACGUUCAUGCUCGAAAGCGUGGGUAGCAAACAGGAUUAGAUACCCUGGUAGUCCACGCCCUAAACGAUGUCAAUUAGCUGUUGGGCAACUUGAUUGUUCAGUAGCGUAGUAAC